rnacentral:rRNA from 1 species
GACGAACGCUGGCGGCGUGCUUAACACAUGCAAGUCGAACGGAAAGGCCCUGCUUUUGUGGGGUGCUCGAGUGGCGAACGGGUGAGUAACACGUGAGUAACCUGCCCUUGACUUUGGGAUAACUUCAGGAAACUGGGGCUAAUACCGGAUAGGAGCUCCUGCUGCAUGGUGGGGGUUGGAAAGUUUCGGCGGUUGGGGAUGGACUCGCGGCUUAUCAGCUUGUUGGUGGGGUAGUGGCUUACCAAGGCUUUGACGGGUAGCCGGCCUGAGAGGGCGACCGGCCACAUUGGGACUGAGAUACGGCCCAGACUCCUACGGGAGGCAGCAGUGGGGAAUAUUGCACAAUGGGCGGAAGCCUGAUGCAGCAACGCCGCGUGCGGGAUGACGGCCUUCGGGUUGUAAACCGCUUUCGCCUGUGACGAAGCGUGAGUGACGGUAAUGGGUAAAGAAGCACCGGCUAACCACGUG